rnacentral:tRNA from 1 species
GGAGAGGUGGCCGAGUGGUUGAAGGCGCCGCUCUCGAAAAGCGGUAUACCUUUACGGGUAUCGUGGGUUCGAAUCCCACCCUCUCCGCCA